AACUAAUAGAGAUAUUUCUUUUUUCCAUGUAUUUCUUUUAUCCAGAUUUUCCUGAGGAUAGAGUACCAGAUGCCAAAACCAAGUGUAAGGUGGGAUAUUAUUUCUGUGACCUUAGGGUCCCUAAGCCUCUAUCAAUACUGGCUAAAGAAGCAGCUGAAUAUUACUACAAAAAACAUAAUGAAGUGUCUGAAGAAACUAGAGGUGAGGAUGGGGAAGAGGAAGGGAAUGGAAGUGAAGAACUGGAAGAAAAACCCCAAAAGGAUCUGGACUCAGCAGAGAGCAGCCUCCCUUAGAAAUCCAGUUGGAAAACAGAAAGAAAUGGAUGGAGAAAGAAACAGCGAAUUUGUUCUUCAUGAUUUUUCUACUUUAAAUUUACCCAGAACACUAAUUUUUUUCCAAAGUUCAUCACACAAAAAAAGACAUCAACUGACAUCUGUCUAUAUGCUAACUUUUUGCUGAUAUAUUUGACUGCUUCUGUUUUGUUAAAAAUAAAAGCUUGUUUGAAAUGU
rnacentral:lncRNA from 1 species